rnacentral:misc_RNA from 1 species
ACGAGUAAAGAAGCAAGAGUCCACUCAAAUCUAUUGCAUGUGAUAAGCACUCUUCAGCCAUAUCCAACUUUCCAGUGGACAUAGCUAGCUCCCCCAACUGUUUCCAUUUAGAUUCACUUUGCAAUUCACUAGCAAUCGCCUUUGCAACCUCUAGCCUACCAAGCUGUACAGCAAGAUCAAAUCUAUAAUUUGGAUCUGUGGCUACUUCCAAAGCAUCCUCCAGCAUGCCACGAGAUUCCAAGAAAUGAGCCACACUGUUAUGAUGUUCUUUGGGAAUUGAGGGCAAAAUCUCAUUCGCACGGUCUAAAUCCCCACGCAUGACAAGAGUUUUAUAUUCAAUCAGGCUAAGCAGUAAUGUGUACCCCAUAACAUUGAACUCCUUGUCAAUAAGAUAAACCCUACUCUGGCUGGCAAGAUAUCCCAACAAGUAUGUCGGCCGGUCUAAAUGGAACAUAGUGGUGACCUCUCCACCAACACAAUAAUUCAAUCUCCAAGAAGAAUUAUUGUAGAUGAAACAGUCUCCGACCCAGAUUCCAGUUCGGACACGCUCA